GCAACACCUAUGCUUGACAGAGGAUUCCUCAUGAAGCCUAAUAGACAAUGUACUUAGACUGGGGCAUCUGCAACUCACUGAAAUCAAUAAGAAAGAAGAAUUCUCAGCAAAAUGAUAUUUCUGAGUCUUAAGUGAUAGGACAAUUAGUUGUUAAGUGUUCCAGUGAACAGUUCCUCUGAACAGUUGCCAGCAGUAAGUGAACACCAGAUUAAAGCCGUGAUUUUGUCAUCAUUCCACACUCAUUGUGCCCAUUAUCUGGCUUUGGACUUGUCAAGAGACCUCAACAACCUAGCCAUUAAACAGGAUCCGUAUAUUUCGAGAAAUUGGAGCUGGGAAUUUCUGAAGUGAUGUUUGCCAAUAAUUCAAAGCACUCACUUGAAGCCACUCAAGUGUACAAAUCAGGCCACCUACAGAACUAUAAAGUAAUGGCGACUAGGAUUUGUCAGCAUU